AAGCAAGCCAUGAUCACACUACUGUACUCCAGCCUGGGUAAGAAUGAGACUGUGUCUCAAAUAAGUACAUAAAUAAAAUUUAAAAAUAAAAGGUGAGGUUUGCUGUCCAAUGCUGGUCCCAGCCAAGUAUGACCUUAGCAUCUGCUUUCUGCAAAGUCCCAGGUCCCCACUUGCCAAGGACAACAGUUCCCAGAGUGACUGGCCUCAGAAAACAAGGUGUCUGAGGGGAUGAUCAGAGGAAGGAGCCUGGUGGAAAUUGGACAGGGAAGGGCUCUGUCCAUGAGGUGGCAGUCGCCCAUAAGCUGUGGUGUGGGAGGAAGCAUAGGGAACCUAGGUUGGUGCUGGAGAUAGCAUUUCCUGGUCCUGACUUGGAGGAGUUGUUAACCCCAACAAUAGCUAUGCAAUGUGUUUUAAGCUGCUAUUGCAAAAGAAUCAAAACGUUUAUAGAGUAGAAAAUUUAUAGUAAGCUAAGGUUAAUUUGUUAUUGAAGAAAGAAAAAUAUUUUUUAUAAAUGUAGUCAACUGUACAGUGUUUCUAAAGUCUACAGUAGUGUGCAGUGAUUCCUAGACCUUCACAUUUACUCACCACUCAUUCACUGACUUACCCAGGACAACUGCCAGUCCCGCAAGCUCCAUUCAUGGGAAGUGCCCUAUUCAUCUUUUACCUUUUAUACCAUAUUUUUACUGUACCUUUUCUAUGUUGAGAUACACGAAUACACCAUUGUGUUACAGUUACCUGCCAUAUUCAGUACAGUAAUAUGCUCUACAGGUUUGUAGCCUAGAAAAAUAGUCUACAGCCUAGGUGUCUAGUAAGUUAUGCCAUUUAAGUUUGUGUAAGUACAUUGUAUGAUAUUUGCACAAUGAUGAAAUCCCCUAGUGAUCCAUUUCUCAGAAUAUAUCCCUGUUGUUAAGUGACGCAUUACUGUAUAUAUACAUAUACAUACAAACAAAUCUGUAACACAAAAUUAUAUACUAUGUGUAUUUACACUACCUAAUAUAUUUAUAUACAUAUAAACACAAAACACAAAAUUCCUUUUAUAUUUGCAAGUUUUGCCAAAGAUGUGGAGCAACUGGAACUCUCAUACGUUGCUGGUUGGAAUAGAAAAUGGCACAUUUACUUUGGAAGACAGUUUGGUAGUUUCUUAAAACGUUAAAAAGUAUGACCCAGCCAUGCUACUUUGAAGUGUUUUCCAAAAGGAAAGACAGCAUAUGUCCACACAAAGACUAGUACAUCCACCCCAAGUAUGUGGCUCAUGUUAGACACCUCAUCCCAAAGCUGCACACAUACACAUACGUUCAUCCCAGCUUAACAGCCCAAAACUAGAAACCAAAAUGUCCACAGACAGGUGAGUGGAUAAACAAAGUGUACUGUAUCUCUACAAUGGAAUACUACUCAGCAAUAAAAAGGAAUGAGUAACUAAUAGAUGUAACAAAAUGGAUGAAUCUCAAAAUAACUGUGCCGAGUGAAAGAAGCCAACCACCCCCCGAAAAGAGUACUCACUGUAUGAUUCCAUCUGCAUAAAAUUCUGGAAAAUGAAAACUAACCUACAGUGACAGAACCCGCAUCAGUGGUCGUGUGUUGGCAGGGGGAGGAAGAUGGGAACAGGCUGGGCAUGGUGGCUCAUGCCUAUAAUCCCAGCACUUUGGGAGGCUGAGGUGGGCAGAUCACUUGAGGUCGGGAGUUUGAAACUAGCCUGGCCAACAAGACGAAACCCCGUCUCUAUUAAAAAUACAAAAACUAGCCGGGCAUGGUGCCAUGCACCUGUAAUCCCAGCUACUUGAGAGGCUGAGGCAGGAGAAUAGCUUGAACUCGGGAGGCGGAGGUUGCAGCGAGCCGAGAUUGUGCCAUUGCACUCUAGCCUGGGCGACAGAGAGAGAUUCCGUCUCAAAAAAAAAAAAAAAAAAAAAAAAGAGUGGAACGAAGAGAACUGAGAGAGAGAGAGAUUACAAAUAGGCAUAAGAAAACAUAUAGGGGUGACUGAUAUGUUCAUUAUUCUUAUCAUGGCAUUACUAUCCCAAGGGCAUUCAUACACCAAAACUCAUCAAGCUGCAUACUUCAAAUAAAUGUAGUUUAGUGUAUGUCUAUUAUAAUCUAAAAAAGCUGUUAAAAUGCCCAAAAUGAAAGACAAAUACUUGGAUUAAAAAAGUUGAUGUAGAACAAUAAUCUCAUAGAUGAAUUAACUGCCGUAAGAGCCGAUCGCUUUUUGAGUAACAGGUAUGCUCAGGGUUGGUAUGGCAAUUCUUACAGGCAGUUUAUUAAAAUCUAAGAAGCACCAUGUAAAUGUGUUUAACACUUAUCACACAUUUUUCUUUUUUUUUUCCUUUUCGAGAUAGAGUUUCACUUUGUCACACAGGCUGGAGUGCAGUGGCACAAUCUCGGCUCACUGCAAACUCUGCCUCCCGGUUUCAAGCGAUUCUCCUGCCUCAGCCUCCUGAGUAGCUGGGAUUACAGGCACGCACCACCAUGCCAGUCUAGUUUCUCUAAUUUUAGUAGAGACAGUGUUUCACCAUGUUGGCCAGGCUGGUCUCAAACUCCUAACCUCAAGUGAUCCGCCUACCUCGGCCUCCCAAAGUGCUGAGAUUACAGGCGUGACCCACAAUGCCCAGCCAAACAUUUUUCUUUUACAUAUUUAAAAAACAUUCUAGUAGGAAAACCAUUAAUAUCAAUUAUUUUUUUCAUUGAAAAUCUUUAACACUGAGGAAGAAUACAGUUCCCAGGACAUGCUUAGAAAUAUAUUUUAGGUAGAAAAUGCCUCGCAUCAGCAAGAGUUGAUUUUUUUUUUUUUAAUGAACACACACCAACUUUAAGAAAAUUCCAUUAAGCCUCAAAAAGAUCAUACUUGAAGAGUUCUGACAUUGAGGCUUUUUAAAAAAAUUGCUGGCAAAGAUCUUUUAAGGCCACUGUUGUCCCCAGUGAUGCUACAAACAUCCUUACAGUCCCAGUGAGGCCACUUGUCCACAAACGUAAGCAGUUCAACACUCACGGAUUUGAGAUGCAUCCUUCAUAUGCCCUCCAGGUAGAGAAAGGAAAAAAACACUCACCAGCAAUGCCUCAGCCAGUCAGGCCCUCGGGGUCAUCUCCAUGAGACAGAUCCCAGACCCCAGACAUUGAAUGACCAGCACCUCAUCACCCCCACCAACUGCCAUCUGAACUCAUCCUUGCUGUUUUAAAAUCUGCUGAUUCUAUCAUAAUAGCCAUUUCACCCUUACACUAACGUUUCAAAGCUUUCCCAUUCUUAACUGGUAUUACAUUUCUGACAUCUAUCUCCUUUUAAAAUCGCAUCUCCUUUAUGCUUUGGUUCUAAUUGCCUUCCUUCUCCUCCUCCCUCCCAUUUGUGCGCAACUUCUAAGUGUCCUGCGUUCCGUGUGGGAAGCGGUACUCUUAGAAGACAGACUUUACUGUAAUAAGCAUGUUUAUUUGAACUAAGGCCAUUUGUAUUUUCCCAUAAAACAAACUGUUUUUACCCAACCCAAGAAUGUGGAUUAUGUUAGACACCCCAUUCCACAACUUCACAUACUUUUCAAGUUUACAUGCGAACCACUGUCCAUAUCUACCAUGAAAAUAGCAAAGACCAAAUAGCAGAUGUUUCCCCAGAUGCAGCUUAAAUGUGGCUGCAAACCUCAAAACAGCAUCCCAACUAUGGGAGGCAUUGGCAACUGUGGGAGUGGUGAUUCUCAAUCCCCACAGCAUAUGACAAUCAUCUUAACAACUUUUAAAGAUCCUACUGAAGUCCAGGUCACAUGCAGACCCCAACUGCAUCAGAACCUCUGGGAGGUAGAACCCAGGAUUAAUCUUUAAUUAUUAUUAUUAAGUUCUAGGGUACAUGUGCACAACGUGCAGGUUACACAUGUAUACAUGUGCCAUGUUGUUUUGCUGCACUCAUUAACUCGUCAUUUACAUUAGGUAUUUCUCCUAAUGCUAUCCCUCCCCCAUCCCCCCAACCCAUGACAGGCCCCAGUGUGUGACGUUCUCCGUCUUGUGUCCAAGUGUUCUCAUUGUUCAACUCCCACCUAUGAGUGAGAACAUAUGGUGUUUGGUGCUCUGUCCUUGCGAUAGUCUGCUCAGAAUGAUGGUUUCCAGCUUCAUCCAUGUCCCUACAAAGGACAUGAACUCAUCCUUUUUUAUGGCUGCAUAGUAUUCCAUUGUGCAUUUGUGCCACAUUUUCUUAAUCCAGUCUAUCACUGAUGGACAUUUGGGUUGGUUCCAAGUCUUUGCUAUUGUGAAUAGUGCCACAAUAAACAUAUGUGUGCAUGUGUCCUUAUAGUAGCAUGAUUUAUAAUCCUUUGGGUAUAUACCCAGUAAUGGGAUUGCUGGGUCAAAUGGUAUUUCUAGUUCUAGAUCCUUGAGGAAUCGCCACACUGUCUUCCACAAUGGUAGAACUAAUUUACACUCCCACCAACAGUGUAAAAGCAUUCCUAUUCUCCCCAUCCUCUCCAGCACCUGUUGUUUCCUGACUUUUUAAUGAUUGCCAUUCUAACUGGUGUGAGAUGGAAUCUCACUGUGGUUUGGAUUUGCAUUUUUCUGACGACCAGUGAUGAUGAGCAUUUUUUCAUGUGUCUGUUGGUUGCAUAAAUGUCUUCUUUUGAGAAGUGUCUGUUCAUAUCCUUUGCCCACCUUUUGAUGGGGUUGUUUGAUUUUUUCUUGUAAAUUUGUUUAAGUUAUUUGUAGAUUCUGGACAUUAGCUCUUUGUCAGAUGGCUAGAUUGCAAAAAUUUUCUCCCAUUCUGUAGGUUGCCUUUUCACUCUGAUGGCAUUUUCUUUUGUUGUGCAGAAACUCUUUAGUUUAAUUAGAUCCCAUUUGUCUCUUUCGGCUUUUGUUGCCAUUGCUUUUGGUGUUUUAGUCAUGAAGUCCUUGCCCAUGUCUAUGUCCUGAAUGGUAUUGCCUAGGUUUUCUUCUAGGGUUUUUAUGGUUUUAGGUCUAACAUUUAAGCCUUUAAUCCACCUUGAAUUAAUUUUUGUAUAAGGCAUAAGGAAGGGAUCCAGUUUCAGCUUUCUACAUACGGCUAGCCAGUUUUCCCAGCACCAUUUAUUAAAUAGGGAAUCCUUUCCCCAUUGCUUGUUUUUCUCAGGUUUGUCAAAGAUCAGAUGGUUGUAGAUGUGUGGUGUUAUUUCUGAGGCCUCUGUUCUGUUCCAUUGGUCUAUAUCUCUGUUUUGGUACCAGUACCAUGCUGUUUUGGUUACUGUAGCCUUGUAGUAUAGUUUGAAGUCAGGUAGCGUGAUGCCUCCAGCUUUGUUCUUUUUGCUUGGGAUUGUCUUGGCAAUGAGGGCUCUUUUUUGGUUCCAUAUGAACUUUAAAGUAGUUUUUUCUAAUUCUGUGAAGAAAGUCAUUGGUAGCUUGAUGGGGAUGGCAUUGAAUCUAUAAAUUACCUUGGGCAGUAUGGCCAUUUUCACAAUAUUGAUUCUUCCUGUCCAUGAGCAUGGAAUGUUCUUCCAUUUGUUUGUGUCCUCUUUUAUUUCAUUGAGCAGUGGUUUGUUGUUCUCCUUGAAGAGGUCCUUCACGUCCC
rnacentral:lncRNA from 1 species